GGCGGCGGAGGAAGGCGGCGCACCCCGAGUGGCAUGCCCAAAGAAAAAUAAGAGCCCCCUGACCCUCGGAGGUUGUACACAAUUAUGUCUUCUGAGGAAGCAGCAAAUGGAAAGAAGUCACAUUGGGCAGAGCUUGAAAUAAGUGGAAAAGUAAGAAGCUUAAGCUCAUCUUUAUGGUCACUAACUCACUUGACAGCUUUGCAUUUGAGUGACAAUUCCCUGUCCCGCAUUCCUUCAGACAUUGCGAAGCUUCACAAUCUGGUGUAUCUGGACCUGUCAUCUAAUAAAAUCCGUAGUUUACCGGCAGAACUCGGAAACAUGGUAUCACUCAGGGAGCUCCAUUUAAAUAACAACCUGUUAGGAGUUCUACCUUUUGAACUGGGAAAACUGUUUCAGUUGCAGACUUUGGGCCUGAAAGGAAAUCCACUUACCCAGGAUAUAUUGAACCUCUAUCAGGAACCAGAUGGAACAAGAAGGCUAUUGAGCUAUUUGCUUGAUAAUUUGUCAGGUGCUGCAAAAAGAAUUUCAACAGAACAACCACCUCCAAGAUCUUGGAUUAUGUUACAAGAACCAGACAGAACAAGGCCAACUGCCUUGUUUUCUGUCAUGUGCUAUAAUGUUCUUUGUGAUAAAUAUGUGACCCGGCAGUUAUAUGGCUACUGUCCAUCAUGGGCACUAAAUUGGGACUACAGGAAAAAGGCCAUUAUUCAAGAAAUCUUAAGCUGCAAUGCUGAUAUCAUAAGUCUUCAGGAGGUUGAAACGGAACAGUAUUACAGUUUUUUUUCUGGUAGAACUGAAAGAACGUGGCUAUAAUGGAUUCUUUAGUCCUAAGUCUAGAGCUAGGACAAUGUCAGAACAAGAAAGAAAACAUGUUGAUGGCUGUGCAGUAUUCUUCAAGACAGAAAAUUUUACUUUGGUUCAGAAACACACUGUUGAAUUUAAUCAGCUAGCAAUGGCAAAUUCAGAAGGGUCUGAACACUAUGCUGAACAGAGUCAUGACAAAAGAUAACAUUGGAGUUGCAGUACUGCUAGAACUUCGAAAGGAAUUGAUUGAAAUGUCAUCUGGAAAGCCACAUCUUGUAACAGAAAAACAGCUUAUUCUUGUGGCGAAUGCUCACAUGCAUUGGGACCCUGAAUACUCUGAUGUGAAGUUGGUGCAAACUAUGAUGUUCCUCUCAGAAGUGAAGAACAUUAUUGAUAAAGCCUCUCGAAACCUCAAAUCCAGUGUAUUGGGAGAAUUUGGAAUUAUUCCACUUGUGUUAUGUGCAGAUCUUAAUUCUUUGCCAGACUCUGGUGUUGUAGAAUAUUUGAGCACUGGUGGAGUAGAAACAAAUCAUAAAGACUUUAAGGAACUGAGAUAAAUGAAGUCUUACAAAUUUCAGCUGCAAUGGAAGAAUGAACAACCAAUGGAAGGAUCACUCAUGGUUUCAAGUUAAAGAGUGCCUAUGAUAGUGGCCUGAUGCCUUACACAAAUUACACAUUUGAUUUCAAGGGUAUUAUUGACUACAUCUUCUAUUCCAAAAUUCAGCUGAACACGUUAGGCAUCCUGGGACCUCUGGACCACCACUGGCUGGUUGAGAAUAACAUCAGCGGCUGCCCACAUCCACUCAUCCCCUCUGACCACUUCUCACUUUUUGCACAACUGGAGCUCUUACUGCCUUUCCUGCCCCAAGUUAAUGGCAUUCAUCUUCCUGGCAGGAGGUAGUUAAGUUCCUUCAGAGGACAACCUUGAUUUACUUGUAAACUCGUGAAAAUCUGAAUAUAGGGAAGUGAGGUAUGGCCACUAGGGAUUUUUUUCCAAAUGAUGAUUUGAAUUUUCAAUCUGAUUAUUUGAUAAGGAUACAGUAUGAAAGCCAGGUGCUAGCAACAGACAAAUUCUGAGCCCAGUAUACUUUAUAUACUGUUAUACAGGGAUUGGUGUGUUUGCACCUAUCUUUAAUUUGUUACAAGAAAUUUUCCUGUUUCUUCAAUAUAGUAUUUUCAUGCCUUGAAAUAGGAAAAUGUUUGAACAGCAUAUUCUCUUUGCACAGAGAUCUGUAGCACUACUUUUUUGAGGCCAGUAGUAACAUCCAGAGACCAUUCUUCCAUACUUUACUCUCUCCUUUUUCAGACUUGUUUGUAAAAUAUAGAAUUUGAAUUUAGCCUUUAUGAUUGUAUAUGAUCCACAGAAGACCUGAUUUAUGAAAUUUUGUACUAAAAAAAUCAGAUUUGGAAAUGAUUGUAUUGUAAACUAAGGCUAAUUUUUAUUUUACCUGUUUCAUGUGUUAUAAAGGCCAGCUUGUAAAAGAAGCUGCAACAGACUUUCUCUGCUCAUGAUUUGCACUGUUAGGGUUUUGUUAGCCCUUUUGUACUACUUUAUUUUUAAAUUGAGAACAUUGUUCUUUAAAUCUAAAUCUGCUUAAACUUCAGAACGUUUUCUUGGACCAGAGGCAACUUAUUGAUGAAUUUCUGAAUUUUUAUGAAAACUAUCUACCAGGUCAGAUAAGCUGAACAGUGUAGGCAUUUAUGGCUUGAAUGUAAUGGUUGGUAUAUGUACAUUCUGAUAUUUUUAAAUCUUUAACUAUUUUAAGUUAAAAAAAUUACAGCUGCUUAGGUACAGCCUCUUAACUCCUUUUUGAGACACUUCCUGUCCUAUCUCCACUGUGCCUGCCUAAAUUUGUUCUCACCAAGCACUGCCUGUGCAUGCAUAGAAAAUCUGUGCAUCCUCUUUUAUAUUUUUAAAAUCCUGUUUAACAUUUUUGAGAAUUUUAUGAAAAUGCUUUUGUAUGAGCUGUGGCUUUUUCCUGUUGUGAAGCAUUGAAUAUCCCAUUUUGGAACAUGUUCAUAGGGUGGGUCCCUGGAUCUUUGCUCACCAGACCCAAGCACUGCUUCUUGGUGUCAUCGCACAGUGCUGCUUGUGACCCAGAAUACUACUAUCAUGUGAAUUCUUUUUGUUAUCCAUGUAUUCCUUAGUCUCUUUUUUUUUAAUCAUUCCCUUUUUAAAGAAAAAGUAAUUUUCCGUUUAUGAAGCAGUAUAAAUUAGAUGCAUUUUCAAAUGGGUCCCUAAGAUAAUUCUUCAGAUCAUUUUUAAAGUGACUAAGUCAUUUUAGUAUGUCAACCAAAAUAAAAGUUAUAUUGUACCCUGUAUUUUGCCCAUAGUGCCCUUUAGUAGAUUAGAGAUUAAAGCCAGCUUUGACUUUGCAAAGUUAAUAAAUAAAUAAACAAAAAU